AAAUAAAAAAAGACCGAAUACGAUUCCUGUAUUCGGUCCAGGGAAAUGGCUCUUGGGAGAGAGCCGUGCGCUAAAAGUUGGCAUUAAUGCAGGCUAAGUCGCCUUGCAUCUUAAGAAUAGAUGACGACACCAGCUUUUCCAGUCC
rnacentral:sRNA from 1 species